rnacentral:lncRNA from 1 species
GUCAAUUACAUUAAUCAAAUGUCAUACCAAAUAGAUUCAUUCAAGGGCCAUCUAAACCAAAUUCAAAUUAUCCAUCAUUACAUUCAUUACAACCAUUCAACCAAUGUUUACACUCAUUCCAAUUCCAAUUUCACUCCAACUCCAAAAAUACAAUUUCAUCCAAUACAUAACCACGUUCGUUCAACCAUAACCAUGAUUGCACCAUUACACUUCCAAAAUUACAACAAGUUCUAAAUUACACUAUUCAAACAUAAACCCAAAAAAAAUCCUUUUCUUCUUGAUUUUUCAUGAAUGUACAUAGACCAUGUCUUCACUUUAUUAUCAAAGUUGCAUCUUCCAAGCCAAUGUGAUCAUAAACCUACGGAAAAAAACCAAUCAAGCCAUGUUAGAUAAGCCAUACAUAUUAUAACCAUGCUAACAUGAACCAAUUCACAUUUUCAAUUCAGUUUCCAAUCAUGGCUUACAUGUUCUACACUACAACCAAUUCCCAAAUUUCAUCCAAAAUCAUAACCAACAUAUAACCAUUUCAACACAUAACCUUACACAUGUUUCACAUAAGUCCUAAAUUCCCAUCCUAAUCCUAAUCUCCAAAAAUUUUGUUGUUUACCUUUGAUUUGCCUUUUGAAAAUGUAACUUCAAAAUCCCAUUGUCCUUAAUGUCUUGGACCCAAACCUUGAUUGACCAUGUCCAAUUCGUGACAAUUAACAGAACUUAACAAUCUAACAACUAACAAUCAAUAUAACAUUACUAACUAGCAGCCAAGUGUUCACUGUCAGAACAACAUAACUUCAAUCAUUCGUCCUAGCAUGACUAAAUUCAAAACAGAACCAUCUUUUUCAAUCAAAUAAUUUCUAACAAUUAACAUCAAUCACUAUCUAACAUUACUGCAGCGGAUUCUAGCGGCAACAACUCAUAGCAUUCAUGAAGUCGGUGCCUGUUUUGAGUCCAUUUGUUGAAGUUUGGGGAUUGGCUUUUUAUGUCCAAAGGGUUUUCAUGGCCAAGUAUAGUUCUGUGCCCAUACACCCUCCAUUUCGUUGCUCACCCCCAUGUGCUGGCCCAUGUUCAUAAUUAAAUUUGUUAAACCAUGAUUAAGGCUUUUAAUUCAUUUCUAAUUUCGUUUAUUUUGUUAUUAAUCUUGAUUCUGAUUAGUUUAACCUAUUUUAGAAUAAGGUAAUUUUCUUGAUUUUAGAUUUUAGAUAUUAGGAUUCAAUUAAUUCUUUUUGUUGCUUAAUUGAUACAUUAGGUUUAAUUAGAUAGUUAAUUAGAAAUUAGGUUUAAUCAAGUUUUAGAUUAGAUUUAGUUCUCUUAAUUUUUCAGAAUUAAUUUUCAUUUGAUUAACCAUGUCAUGAUUAGGUUUUAGUCAUUAGAUUUUGGUUAUUUCAUUUUUGUGGAUUAAUGUGAUUAACAUUUGAUUUUACCAUGAUUAGAUAUUAGGUUAAAUUUUGACCAUUAGAGUGGUUGAUUUGAUUUGUGAAAUGACCAUUUUGCCCCUUAAAUGGCUUGUUUCACUACUUUGGCCCAAUAACAUGACAUGUUCCCUUAGGAUUAAUCUAUACUUAGAAUUUUAAUUAAUGAUCCCUUAGGAAUAACCUUUGAAUAUAAUUCUUACCAUUAGAUUAGGAUUAACCUAGUUUUCAAAUCAAACCAAACCCUCGAUUCAAGUUGAUCAAAAGUAAUUUUUUUGACUAAAUCGUUUGACCUUGUAUAAUCCCACAGUCUAAUUGGAGUGACCAAAAGACCCUUAGUCACUUAAUAAGACUUUUUUCCAGAAAACUGUGGAGCUCGAAGCCUCAAGUCAGAUUCUCAAUCAAGACAUCCUCAAUCAUACUAAGCAGCGGGUUAUACAAGAUAAACCAAAAGUCAACACUUGGUAAAUACGAUUCAAAUUUUGGCAACGAAACCAAACACUUUAUUCCUUCUUUUUUGGCUAAGACAUUUGUUUACUCUUCGGUUCAGAGUUUAUUCCUUCAUGGAUCCAAUAUACCAUUCUUCUUUGGUUUCAAAUUGUUUGUUCCCUACAGUGAUAUAAUAUCCCCUGUACUAAACAACAUUGCAGCCAACCCUUAAAGUUGUGUUUGUUUUAUAAGUCCCUGUUGCAUAGGCAAACACGUCUCUCUUUGUUUCCACUACAGUUAACCCUUGAAGUUGUGUUUGUCUUGUGAGUCCAUGUUGAUUAGGCAAAUACCUCUUCAUAUCCAAUAUUUUGUUGGUACAAGUUAUACUUUUCAUCACUUAUCUCUCUCUUUGUUCUCAUGGUUCCAUGAACUACAAAUGCUCUGACUUUCUCAUUGCACGAUGAGAAUAUGUAGGCACGAGGAUGAAAAUCCUUGGCAAGCACAUUUCUAUUUAUUCCCUCCUUCUUCUGCCUUAGGGCACCAUCCAUAUCUUUCAUGAUACAUUAUCUACCUUCAAUCACUGAACCAUUCACUC